CAUGACUUAAAUGCAGUGUAUGAGAUAAAUUCCCAAGAAAGGAAGUAGUCUAGGAGAGAAACCUGUAAAUAAAGAUACACUGGGUAAUCACUUUCAUUUUGUUUUAUUCAGACUUUUACCCCAGUACUUGUAUGACAACAUUACAGCCAGAAGUUAAUCCAGUUCUUACCAAAACAUAGCAUAACCUGCACUGCCAAACUGUUUGCUCUUUUACUGCUCUGUAUCUUUCAUACACUUAAAAUGACAGCCAUAAAACCUUCCCACCAAUGUCCCUGCUACAACAAAUAACCUUCUAAUCCUGGAACACUGUGCCCCUGACCUCUCCUUGCUGGAUUGUCAUUGUGAGAGCAAAGAGAGCACCAUGCACAUCAGACAGGACAAGGGCUUCUCAAGUAGCAUGCCCAGAGGUGCCCUUCACCAUGAAAACACAGGUGAGAAAAUGGUAAGUGCCAGUCAUCUGGGAGGGUGGCAUACCUACACAGAACAUAUCUCUACACAGGGGCAACAUCAUGCAAAAAACACCAAGCAGCUCUUGAAAACAUCUUUUAAUACAUCAGCUCCAGGUAAAGGCUGCUGGUUUGUUGAUUCCUGUUUCCCAUUAUGUGUCCUGGAGUAGUUGGGUAUAACUUCCCAAAGUGUAAGACACCUGCAGCUCUAGAGAAACAUUCACUUUGGAGAAACAAACACUUGGUGUUGCCCAUCACUAAGCCAGAAAUGCCAGUAUUACCUGGGCAUCUGUACUGAAGUCCUCUACCCACUGAAAUCUGUCAGAAACACCUAAACUUGCUCAGCUUUUAAAUGGAUCAAACUUUUUAAAGAAAUCACAAGAAGUGCUCCUCUACAUAAUUUGGUACAUAUAAACUUAAUACACAGAAAUCCACUGAAAAUCCAAAAUUUAACUUGGCAAUACUCUUUUUUUUAGAUACUUCCCAAUAUAUCUCACCUGAUAGUCUUUUUUUACCUCCCACUCAGGCACACUCAUCAUCUUCUAUUCCAAGCAAACAAUACAGAUAACCAUGGUGAUAGUACAGUCUAUAAAAAACAUUUUGCUCACUGUAACUCAAGACAGAUAUAACAGUAACACAUGAACAAAAGUAAUGACAGAGCACUGGGGUGUAAAGCAAAGUUUCUUUCAAUGGAGAAAGUCAGCAGCUCAAGAAUCAAGGGAAAAAGAUCCAUGGUUUUGGCUCAAAGAAGUCACUGUAAUCAUUUUUCUAGGCAGGAUUUCAUCCAUGAUGAAAAAGAGGGAUCCACAGAAAGGUAAAAUAUAAGUUCAGGAAAAGUGCCUUUUAUUUGGCCUUUAUAAUAGUAGAACAGAACAAAUGUAAAGGAAAAGCAUUUCAUAUUAGUACUGGGAAAUGUUUCAUGCAGAUAAGUCCGUAUGGAACCUAUUGUCAGUAGGUUUGGAGAAUAUUGGAAGGACUGGAUAACAGAUACCAGCAGCAUGGCUGCAGUAUCUAUCCUGCUACAGAAAGCUGUCAAAGACUAAUUACUAUCAAAAAAUCAUUGUGUCAUUGCCAUGAGAAUGCUAAAAAUAUUAAAAGGCUUCUCUUUUGUGCUGCGUUUUUAGUGACAGCCUUUCUUGCAUGUUCUUCUAAUACAUCUAAUACUAUCUUCUUUCAAGAGACAGAAGCAGAGCAGGUCCCACUCUAUUUGUGGCUAGUUUAGCAGUUUUUUACUCAUGUUUUUACUUCCUUUGUUUGGCAGGGAGAGUGACCCAAGCAGGAAAGGAGGUGGUCAAAAGCGAGGAACAUUUCCUCAACUCUAACAGCAAAAUUCACCUCAGCUGCUGAACAUAGUCCACUCAUAAAAGAGAUGUCACUUGGUGGCAGUCAGCUCUAUUAUGGUUCUUCCUAAAAAUAAAGCACAUUUUUUGUAGUGGUGGAUGUCUGAA
rnacentral:lncRNA from 1 species